rnacentral:tRNA from 1 species
UUAGUUAAAGCCAAAAAGAGGCAUACCACUGUUAAUGGUUGAAAUGAAAAAAAUUUUUUCUAACUAAA